rnacentral:lncRNA from 12 species
AGCCCUAUUUCUGACUGUGCAGUGCUUUCACUGUGAUCUGCUCUCUGUGAUGGUGUGCUGACCUGUCUCUGACCCACGAGUCCUGCAGCUUCAUCUUUCAGCUUUUGUCUUCUCCAGAUGUUCACUGAUGGACUGGAGUGCUGUGGAUUACUUGUGGAUUAUUGUGAUGUUUUCAUCAGCUGUUUGGACUCUCAUUCUGACGGCACCCAUUCACUGCAGAGCAUCCAUUGAUGAGACACUGAUGCAGUGCUAUAUUUCUACAAACCUGAUGAAGAAACAAACUCAUCCUGAUCUCAGAUGAACUAAAGGUGAGCAUAUUUACAGUAGAUUUAAAUUUUUGAGUGAACUGUUCCUUUAAGAAUAACUCCUGAGCAAAGGAGACACACAAACACUGCAGAUGUCUUGAAAUAAUCACACAGAACAUGAUCCACCAGUCUGAAAUAACCUCCAGCAGCCCAACACACAGAUACACAAAGCUAAUGAUAUUUUCUAACCCCAACACUAAACAUAACCCUCACAGAACACCUUUUGCAUUUUGACAUUUUUAAUAAAGCACUGUGUGUUCAGUUGGUCUGUUGAAUUACACUGUGUGUAUUUGUGUGUGUGUGUGUGUGUGUGUGUGUGUGUGUGUGUGGAUCAGAACUAGUUCAGCCAGAGAAACAAACACACAAUCACAAACAUCUGUAGUGCUGUGAGAUGUCGUCUGAUUGGUCGAGGUGUUUUUUGAGGCACCAAUCACGGCUCACGGCGUAUUUGUGGGUCGGUAGGGUUCAGAGUAACCAGAUCCUCCUGCAAACAUUCUGUGAGCUCUGACCUUUGACCUCCUGGUGUGUUUGACUGAUCCCAGACCUGUGGCCCUGACCCGACAGAACCUGAUGACGUCAUCGCUGAAGCAUGAGUCAAAUCUAGAUUCCUGGUGGCCUCUGACCCCUGACCCGUGUGCGUACCGCGUGCCAUGUGGAUCCAGCCGUGAGCUCGGACUUUUCCAGCAGCACCACGUCUUUCUGUCCGGCUUUGACCAGAUGAUACGCCAGACUGACACCGACACACCCUCCGCCGAGUCCUUCAGACGCUUCCUCAGAACCCCGGCCGACCCGUCUCUGAGAACCAGAACACAACCAUCAGCGGCACAGAUCAUCAGACAACCAGAUAUGAUUACUGAAUCACAGACGCUGCACAAUCACACGUUUCUGCAGAAUCUGAUAUUUUGAUUAUUAAAGUAUUACAUCCAUUCGGCUGAAUUUUUGCAUGCAUUCCCAUAAUGUUUGCAAGAUCUGUCAGAUAUAUCAGAGACACAUCUCAUAAUUGUCAAGUAUAUCAGAUAUAUCAGAUUUCAUGUCCUCAUCCGUCAGGCAGGGGCGGACUUACCCAUUAGGCAAAGGUAGGCGACUGCCUUGGGCCCCCAAAAGCCAAGGGCCCCCUAAUGCUUUUCAUAUAGGAGAUGCGCAUUAAGCGCGGACACGCGAACGGUUGCUGUUUACGGUGUUUAUGCACGACAAUCGUCUGCGCGUCCGAGUUGAACGUGCUUCUUGUGUAUCCAGCUUGUAGCAAAAUAAAAUUUUAUGCAUCUAAAGCUGACUGCCGCACGAGCGCGAGGUCCCUCUUUCCCAGCGCGCGCACACUUCUCUCUCUGCGUUCAGCGCGCGGCUGAAAGGAGCUGCGCUUUCAGUUAAAACACUGAUAUGUUGCUUCUCUAAUUUUACAUAUAAGUAUAGCUGAAAUCACAGCACAGCUAUUGUCUUCAAGCUAUUCUGUAGCCUAUUUGAUUUUUAUCAGACGACGGCACGAUUAUAUAUUUUUGUGCAGAUUAACUUCUCGGAAGGGAGAGCUGGUUAGUCUUAAUGGGUCGCGUUUCAGUCACUAUUUCAUAUUCAUCCCGUUGUCUGACAACAAACAGUCAAAUGUAUCAAUGAAAACAGUUUUGAGAAUUUAGCUGCAUCAAAAUACAGUAUGUGGCACAGAGAGGCAAACAAAUGUAAUAAUAAAUAAUAAAUGUACAUUUUGCAUGUUCAGAAGUGAGCUGCCCUGUCAUGCGAAAAUGCAAACAGGUUUGUGUAAAGUGCUCAGUGCAAAGAAAGAGAAGUAAUAGGAAGCUAGUAUUUCUGUUUUUUUUUUUUUUUUUUUUUUUGUGUCUAAUAGAUAUGAACAAGUUCUUUGAAAAACAUCUAUGACCUAUGAAACAUGUCUACUCUUCAUGCUCUGUUAACUGGUUUCACUAAUAAUAAACAUUUAUUGCAUAAAUUAAUUUUUGCAUUACAAAAAUGCCUUAAAAGAAAGUGUUACAGGUGUGCAUAUUGACACAGAACAAUGAGUUUUAAGAUAUGUCAGAGCAAGAUAUUUUCAGUUGAGACAGCUCAAACAUGCAUUUUAGUCUGGGACUAGCUUAAGCCUUGUCUGUGAAACCAUGGGGAAAAUAUUCAUUUAAGGUACAUUUAGAACAGAUAAAAAUGUGCAAUUAAGUUGCGAUUAUUCACAAGUUAACUCAUGACAAUCAUGCCAUUAAUUGUGAUUAUAUAUUUUAAUUGAUUGACAGCCCUAAGUUAAAAUGACUAAAAUAAAAUGUAGGCUUACGCUGGUAACUCACAUUUUCAUUUUACCUGAUAAAGUACCAUUUAUGAGCUGAGCUGUUUUGUUUAGAGCUGUUACCGGGGAAACCACUAUAUUUCUGACUCCAAAAGCACCUCCUACUGGCAGAGAAUGAAUGUGCAUUUUCAAUAAUCCAGUCUGCAGUUUUUGUUCAGACCAAUGCGAAUAUUCACUCACAUAAAUCUGUUUUAAAUAAUAUAAUAAUUUAUACUUCUGACUCAUCCCAGAAAUAUAAAGUUUCAGUUGUGAGGUUUAUCAUUUUAUAAUUUAUUUUGUUUUAUGUUAAAACUAAAAAAACGGUAAAUCAAUUGCUAUUUCGUGGUCUACAACAUGAAAUAAUAAAAGUAUCUGCUAAAUGAAUAAAUGUAAAUUAAAGAAUCCCAUUAGAACAUGUACAUAAAAAAUGUAGAAACAUUGGACACAACAAUCUGGCACCAUUGUGCAGCAGCAAGCAUCACGACAAAAAAGGACCUCGAGGGUUGAUCUAGGUAAAUGUGUGCAAAUGUAUAGGGCCCCAUUCCUAUAUUUGCCUGGGGCCCCCAAUUCACUAAAUCCGCCCCUGCCGUCAGGUAUACCUCAUAUUUUCAUAAACAAGUCUCAUAUGUGACAAGUCUAUCACAUAUCAUUCAUAUUUCUCAGUUCUGUCAGAUAUAUCUCAUAAUCGUCAAGUCUAUGAGAUAUAACUCAUAUUUUCUCAGAUUUCUCCCCCGUGAUCUGUCGUGAAGCUCCGAGCAGAGACGCGCAGUGUUUUUC